rnacentral:rRNA from 1 species
UACGUAGGGGGCAAGCGUUGUCCGGAUUUAUUGGGCGUAAAGAGCGUGUAGGCGGCCAGACAGGUCCGUUGUGAAAACUCGAGGCUCAACCUCGAGAUGUCGAUGGAAACCGUCUGGCUAGAGUCCGGAAGAGGAGUGUGGAAUUCCUGGUGUAGCGGUGAAAUGCGCAGAUAUCAGGAAGAACACCUAUGGCGAAGGCAGCACUCUGGGACGGUACUGACGCUGAGGCGCGAAAGCGUGGGGAGCAAACAGG